rnacentral:rRNA from 1 species
GUCAGCGGCUCUGGCGGCCGGGGCACGCCCGGUCCCAUUCCGAACCCGGAAGCUAAGCCGGCCAGCGCCGAUGGUACUGCGGGGG